GAUGAAGAACGUAGUGAAAUGCGAUACUUGGUGUGAAUUGCAGAAUCCCGUGAACCAUCGAGUCUUUGAACGCAAGUUGCGCCCGAAGCCAUUAGGCCGAGGGCACGCCUGCCUGGGCGUCACACGUCGUUGCCCCCCCAUCUACUCCUUCGGGAUUGCGGGGGGCGGAUGAUGGCCUCCCGUGCGCCUAGUCGCGCGGUUGGCAUAAAAACCAAGUCCUCGGCGACGCACGCCACGACAAUCGGUGGUUGCGAAACCUCGGUUGCCCGUCGUGUGCGGUCGUCGCGCAUCGAGGGCUCGAAAAAAUUGCCGGGCUCCGGCUCGGCUUUCAACGCGACCCCAGGUCAGGCGGGGUUACCCGCUGAAUUUAAGCAUAUCAAUAAGCGGAGGA
rnacentral:misc_RNA from 1 species